GGGGGCGUCACGGCUUCGACGGAGAUGCUUGCGGCCAAGAGGCAUGCCGGGGUGCACACACCCGUAAUCGUGAGCAAAAUGAUAAUUGCCAAUCAACAGAUGGCAUACGCAGCCUAACUAGUUUAGGCAGCCGUCCCAAGAGGCUUUGCUCGUGGGCCUCCGAAGGACGUCACACAGCGAGCUGCUCUUCUCUUCUACGUCUGGGAUGAGAGGCUAAGACCACAGGCUAGCGGAACGCGUUUCUUGUCGGUUCUGAGCGCGGGCCGCGAACGUCCCAGGGUAAUGCCUGGGGCAUGAACACGACUAAGCAUGUAGUUCUCUUGACCAGUAACAUUUUCGGACGCGGGUUCGACUCCCGCCGCCUCCACCA
rnacentral:tmRNA from 1 species